AUUGAACGCUGGCGGCAGGCCUAACACAUGCAAGUCGAACGGUAGCACAGAGAGCUUGCUCUCGGGUGACGAGUGGCGGACGGGUGAGUAAUGUCUGGGAAACUGCCCGAUGGAGGGGGAUAACUACUGGAAACGGUAGCUAAUACCGCAUAAUGUCGCACGACCAAAGAGGGGGACCUUCGGGCCUCUUGCCAUCGGAUGUGCCCAGAUGGGAUUAGCUAGUUGGUGAGGUAAUGGCUCACCAAGGCGACGAUCCCUAGCUGGUCUGAGAGGAUGACCAGCCACACUGGAACUGAGACACGGUCCAGACUCCUACGGGAGGCAGCAGUGGGGAAUAUUGCACAAUGGGCGCAAGCCUGAUGCAGCCAUGCCGCGUGUAUGAAGAAGGCCUUCGGGUUGUAAAGUACUUUCAGCGGGGAGGAAGGCAAUGCGGUUAAUAACCGUGUUGAUUGACGUUACCCGCAGAAGAAGCACCGGCUAACUCCGUG
rnacentral:rRNA from 1 species